AUUGCCUCAGUAACGGCGAGUGAAGCGGCAAAAGCUCAAAUUUGAAAUCUGGCGCCCGCCCGAAUUGUAAUUUGAAGAAGCGACUUUGGACCUGGCUCUUGUCUAAGUUCCUUGGAACAGGACGUCAUAGAGGGUGAGAAUCCCGUUAGAUGAGAUGCCCAGGGCCGUGUAAAGCGUUUUCGACGAGUCGAGUUGUUUGGGAAUGCAGCUCUAAGUGGGUGGUAAAUUCCAUCUAAAGCUAAAUAUUGGCGAGAGACCGAUAGCGAACAAGUACAGUGAUGGAAAGAUGAAAAGAACUUUGAAAAGAGAGUGAAAAAGUACGUGAAAUUGUUGAAAGGGAAGGGCUUGUGAUCAGACUUUGCAUUUCUAUGGCUUCCUUUCGGGGGGGUCCUCUGGAGUUGUAGGGCCAGCAUGGGUUGGAGGGGUGAGAUAAUGGGGAAGGAAUGUGGCUCUG
rnacentral:rRNA from 1 species